AUGAUAAUCAAAGUUUGGAGCAUAGUGGGAAAAAAAAGCUCUGCAUGGCCAAAAUAUGCCUGGAGAGGCGAUGAUCCGCACUCUUCACUACGACAGGAAAUACAGACGAAUAUCCAAAAUUUAAGUACAAAGCGGCCCACCUAUUACAUUACAUUUCAGUUAUUCAAAGAUAAGAAAAAAGAAACACAACAACAUUCACAGAUAGAUUUUAUUGCAUCUUCCGGGUUUCUAAACGGGGAUUUUGCAUGCACACAAAAUUGA